ensembl:lncRNA
CUGUGCUGAACUUCAGAUUAACGUCACCACAGUCAGUGGGUCGAAGUUUGGAGAAUUCCAGUGCGGGUUUUUCUCUCGUCUCCACACAGAGUUGUGACUUUCAGAUGCACGUGACGUCGUGUUCGAACGUUAAUGAAAUGCAGAAACAGAUCCAUCAGCUGUUGGAGCGGCGGUAUGAUAACGGCACCGUGAGCCUGGAUGCUGCUCCAGAACACAUCCACAUCACACACAUACACCCCGGUCAGUGUCCUCACCAGCCACAGCAGACUCGUCGGGGUCUGUACAUUUGGAUCAGAACUUCGGCUCAACGCGUAAACACACAGCAGUGUGAAGGAGAUCUGACUCACAAAGCAACACGCCAGUGGUACCACACACACACAUACACACACACACACACACACUCUCACACACACACUUAUAAUAUUCCCAUAUUAGUUUGGGUCACGGGUUGAUGUUCUGCAUGUAAAAUGAAAGUUAAAGUGUGUGUGUGUGUGUGUGUGUGUGUGUGUGUGUGUGUGUGUGUGUGUGUGUUUCACUCCUGAGUAAACACAGUGUGAGUGUUACAGAUGUGUAUGUUUGCCAUCUGACAUCUAAUGACCCAUUAAUAAGGUGAACAGGCUGUUCAAACACACACACACACACACACACACACACACACACACACACACACAUUUAAUGACUGUCCCAUAACGUACAGUGAGAUGUGUCCGUAUCUGAG